rnacentral:misc_RNA from 1 species
UAGACUGAGGGUGAUCUCUGAGCAACUGGAGCCCCAGAGGUGCAGUGUGCAUGCCCCAUUGGCUAUGGGCAUGCUCUGACACUCACUCAUCCAGUCCCAGUUAUGGGCAAAUAGCCAAACAGACAGAGGGCGCAAGUCAAGAAAGACAAUCUGUCUAGGAGAAGGACAACUCAGAUGCCAAACCCAUGCAGAAGCAGCAUGCAAGUCCAGUAAGACAAGCUUCUACGGGAUGGAAACCCAGACAGAAACACUCCUCCUGACUUCCCAGGAUUAGAAUCUUCAUUCAGAGAGCGUGAGGAUGAUGUUAUAUUGUAAUGAAUCCCACGUCCUAAGCGGCUACAGUUUACAGAUUCGGAUAAAUGUCCAAUCGAUGAUGGAGAAGACAUACUGUCACUUAACAAACCACCUGUUAAGAAACACAAAGCUGAUACGAACAUCAAAAAUGCAAAACUGCCAGCACUACCAGCUCUGCCAGACUUUAUCAAGUCUCCUUGUCACAAAUGAUGCACCACAGACCGGAGACUCUGACCGCACGUAUGAAGGACUUCAAGAAAGGAGAGACUCUUCACAAUACUCCAAACUCACCGUGUAUCAAAAUCUACACAGCUCUGAACCAAACUACAGCAACGUGACAACUUUGUCUGCAUGAUAAUUAUAUAAUGAAAAACACGAUAAGAGCGUCGGUAAAAUGUUUUAAAAAACUAAUGAAGAUUAUAACAGCUUUUUAUAACCUCAACAUGGCAUAAAAAUUGCAUUUGACAAAUUACAGACUUCUUUAAUAAAAAAGGCAAAAUUCUUACAUUAUUGGAAAUUGAAGAAAAUGUUAACACUACACUGUCUUUUGUUACUUAUUGCGGGUGUUGUUAAAGCAAUUAGAAAAUAUUUCACAAGAUAAUAUAUACUCUUCAAAAUAUAUUUCUAACAUUAUUUUUUAAAUAAAACAGUAGUGUAUAUUUUAAUAUAAUGUUAUUCAACAGCUAGUGGACGUGAUAUCAUUCAAUUUUGAAGCCAACAAAUACACUAUUUGGAAAUGUGGGUGGGCAGACAAUAUCCAUUACUAUGGUUCCACAGGUCACAUAUUCUACGUUAAAAACAUGCACAUACAGCACAUAAAUGACCGCUUGGCAGAUAACUGAUUCGCAUUCAUACACGCAUUAUCGAUAGCGUCGCUAGCUUAUAUUGAAAUUAUGUCCCAGCUGACAGAAUCCCCAACGUAAAAACCAACCAGAUGGAAACGGGUGAGUCCCACACACCAUUUGCACGUGAUGUAAACACACAUCGGAGUAUCAUAUCUACAUUUUGGCACGUUAACAGCAAACUGGAAUGUCACGUGAUCGCCCAAGAUCCGGUCGCCCGAGAGUUACUACAGCGGCGUUGCUAUUGAAAUGGUUUUGUUUGAUGACUAUGAAUACAUACGUCAGUUAUGGAGUGUCACCGUAGUACGUUUGCUUAAAUGUCAAUCUAAUUUGAAAAGUUACAAAUUCUGAAAGUAUGUGAUCUGAAAAAUAUCACUUUCUCUGAUUAUACUGGAUAUGCUAGUUAUUAUAUGAUAAAUAUGUGAAUUUAUUGAUGCUACGCGAUUGUAUACAAGUUGUGACUGUUAUAUAUACAAUUAUGUGUGUGUCUGUGUGUGCGUGUGUGUGUGUGUUUGUAUGCAUGUGUGUGUGCAUGUGUGUGUGCAUUAUUAUAUAUCUUACUACAUACAUAUAUACUUAUUAUUCUGUUCAAUAUCUAUAUAUAUAUCCUGUCCAUUUAGAGAUUAAAAUUAGAAAUAAUUCAAUAUUUGUAAUACUUAUGUAACUUAUGUCUAUUAUAUCUGCUUCUUCUUCCCUGGGGCAAAUUCCAGUGUAAACAUGAAAUACCUCCCCCACCCUCCCCGCAAAAAUAAUAAUAUUAUUAAAAGAAACAAUUUUAACGGCACCUCAUGAUUCCUUCAUAUAGAGAUGAUGUUCAUUUAUUGUAUAUAAAUUUAUUGCAAUUUUAUACAUGUAUUUGUUCAUACAGUAUCAUUAGGCUUUUACAAGUUGUAUAUAUAAGCAAGUUAAAGGGAGGAAAUGUUUUAUUUAACGACGCACUCAACACAUUUUAUUUACGGUUAUAUGGCGUCAGACAUAUGGUUAAAGACCACAUAGAUAUUGAGAGAGAAAACCCGCUGUC